CAUGCAAGUCGAGCGGACGCCUGCGCCGUCCUUGCCCUUCGGGGCGGGGACGUGCAGGCGUCAGCGGCGGACGGGUGAGUAACACGUGGACAACCAACCUUAUGGUCCGGGAUAAGCGCCCGAAAGGGCGUCUAAUACCGGAUAAGCCCCCGCCGCCGCAUGGCGGCGGGGGAAAAGUUCCGGCGCCAUAGGACGGGUCCGCGCAUGAUUAGCUUGUUGGCGGGGUAAAGGCCCACCAAGGCGACGAUCAUUAGCCGGCCUGAGAGGGCGAUCGGCCACAUUGGGACUGAGACACGGCCCAAACUCCUACGGGAGGCAGCAGUGGGGAAUAUUGCACAAUGGGCGCAAGCCUGAUGCAGCGACGCCGCGUGAGGGAAGGAGGCCUUCGGGUCGUAAACCUCUAUCGAUGGGGAAGAAGGCCGCCUUAGGGCGGCUUGACGGUACCCAAGCAAGAAGCCCCGGCUAACUACGUGCCAGCAGCCGCGGUAACACGUAGGGGGCGAGCGUUAUCCGGAAUCACUGGGUGUAAAGGGUGAGCAGCCGGCCCGCCAAGUCAUGUGUGAAAUUCCGCGGCUUAACCGCGGAACCGCACAAGAAACUGGCGGGCUAGAGUACGGGAGAGGUAAGCGGAAUUCCUUGUGUAGCGGUGAAAUGCGUAGAUAUAAGGAAGAACACCAGUGGCGAAGGCGGCUUACUGGACCGCGACUGACGGUGAGUCACGAAAGCGUGGGGAGCGAACAGGAUUAGAUACCCUGGUAGUCCACGCCGUAAACGAUGCUGGCUAGGUGUCGGGGCGAGAGCCCCGGUGCCGGAGCUAACGCAAUAAGCCAGCCACCUAGGGAGUACGGCCGCAAGGCUGAAACUUAAAGGAAUUGACGGGGGCCCGCACAAGCGGUGGAGCAUGUGGUUUAAUUCGACGCAACGCGAAGAACCUUACCAAGGCUUGACAUGGACCCGGCCGGCGCGGAGACGCGCCUUCCCUUCGGGGCGGGUCGCACAGGUGGUGCAUGGUUGUCGUCAGCUCGUGUCGUGAGAUGUUGGGUUAAGUCCCGCAACGAGCGCAACCCUUGCCCCUAGUAGCCAGCAGGUGGAGCUGGGCACACUAGGGGGACUGCCGUGGAGAACACGGAGGAAGGCGGGGACGAUGUCAAAUCAUCAUGCCCCUUAUGCCUUGGGCCACACACGUGCUACAAUGGCGCAGACAAAGUGAAGCGAAGGGGCGACCCGGAGCCAACCACGAAAAGGCGCCCCAGUUCGGAUUGCAGGCUGCAACCCGCCUGCAUGAAGUUGGAAUCGCUAGUAAUCGCGAAUCAGCACGUCGCGGUGAAUACGUUCCCGGGCCUUGUACACACCGCCCGUCACACCACGGGAGUCGGAGGCGCCCGAAGCCGGCGACCGAACCGGCUGGAAUCUAGAAUCUAGAAACUGGAAUCCGGAAAAACCGAG
rnacentral:rRNA from 1 species